GUGCUCGCUUCGGCAGCACAUAUACUAACACUGGAAUGAUACAAAGAAGGCUAACAUCGCCCCUGUGCAAGGAUGACAUGCAAAUUCGUGAAGUGUUCCAUAUUUUU
rnacentral:snRNA from 1 species